rnacentral:rRNA from 1 species
GUCUGGAUUAUGCGGCUCAAUUGGAUUCAACGCCCAACACCCCACCAGGACAGGAGCGCUCGAUGAAGCACCGGCUGAAUACCUCUGCCGAUGAGCGUGCAGGUGGUGCAUGGCCGCCGUAGUUCGUGAGGUGACUUGUCUGGUUAAUUCCGACAACGAACGCAACCGCAUUGCCCCACUAUGCGACGCGCGCCCGGCGUGCGCCGCAAACUGGGGCAGACUCGUCGGACGCGGGUUUCAAGCCCUAGCCGAAGGAAGCCACGGCGAUGGCAGGUCUGUGAUGCCCCUAGACGCCCUGGAUCGCACGCGUAAUACAAUGCCGGCCCAAGCGCGCACGUUCGCCCGAGAGGGUCUACAAACCGCACGAAAAGCCGGCUCAG